rnacentral:tRNA from 1 species
CCUUCGAUAGCUCAGUAUGUAGAGCGGGCGACUGUAGUUGUUGAAAGCAAUCAUCCCUAGGUCACUGGUUCGAAUCCAGUUCGAAGGA